rnacentral:rRNA from 1 species
UGUGACCUCAAAUCAGGUAGGACUACCCGCUGAACUUAAGCAUAUCAAUAAGCGGAGGAAAAGAAACUAACAAGGAUUCCCCUAGUAACUGCGAGUGAAGCGGGAAAAGCUCAAAUUUAAAAUCUGUCAGUCUUUGGCUGUCCGAGUUGUAAUCUAGAGAAGUGUUAUCCGCGCUGGACCGUGUACAAGUCUCCUGGAAUGGAGCGUCAUAGAGGGUGAGAAUCCCGUCUUUGACACGGACUGCCAGGGCUUUUGUGAUGCGCUCUCAAAGAGUCGAGUUGUUUGGGAAUGCAGCUCAAAAUGGGUGGUAAAUUCCAUCUAAAGCUAAAUAUUGGCGAGAGACCGAUAGCGAACAAGUACCGUGAGGGAAAGAUGAAAAGAACUUUGGAAAGAGAGUUAAACAGUACGUGAAAUUGCUGAAAGGGAAACGCUUGAAGUCAGUCGCGUCAUCCAGGGAUCAACCUUGCUUUUGCUUGGUGUACUUUCUGGUUGACGGGUCAGCAUCAAUUUUGACCAUUGGAAAAAGAUUAAGGGAAUGUGGCAUACAUUAGUGAUGUGUUAUAGCCCUUGGUUGCAUACAAUGGUUGGGAUUGAGGAACUCAGCACGCCGCAAGGCCGGG